GAUGAACGCUGGCGGCAUGCCUAAGACAUGCAAGUCGAACGAGACGGCCCAUUGAAGAUAGAGUGCUUGCACAAAGUUGGAUUUGGUUUACCGUCUAGUGGCGCAAGGGUGAGUAACACGUGGGUAAUCUACCUUCGAGUCUGGAAUAACAGUUAGAAAUGAUCGCUAAUGCCGGAUGAUAUAUAAGAAGAUAUACUUCAUAUAUUAAAAGGUGCCUCAAAGCAUCGCUUGAAGAUGAGCCUGCGCCGUAUUAGCUAGUUGGUGGGGUAACGGCCUACCAAGGCGACGAUGCGUAGCCGACCUGAGAGGGUGAUCGGCCACACUGGGACUGAGACACGGCCCAGACUCCUACGGGAGACAGCAGUUAGGAAUAUUCGUCAAUGGGGGAAACCCUGAACGAGCAAUGCCGCGUGAAGGAUGACGGUCCUAUGGAUUGUAAAACUUCUGUUGUUAGGGAAGAACGACCUAUGUAGGAAAUGACAUAGG
rnacentral:rRNA from 1 species